rnacentral:lncRNA from 1 species
AGAACCUUAUUUUGGAGUAUCGUCAUGGUGAUCUCGUCUAUCUUGAUGGUGCUCUUUCCCACUAGAAGAGCAGUCACCAAAGACUCAUACGAAAAGGAAAGCGACGCUAGCAAAACUAGCACCCUUAGUCAUCUCCUCAACAUUCUCGCCAACGUUGAGGAGGUCGGUGAGGAUCUUCUGAAAGUGACUAAGAUACUCCUACACU